rnacentral:rRNA from 1 species
UACGUAGGUGGCAAGCGUUGUCCGGAUUUAUUGGGCGUAAAGCGAGCGCAGGCGGUUUCUUAAGUCUGAUGUGAAAGCCCCCGGCUCAACCGGGGAGGGUCAUUGGAAACUGGGAGACUUGAGUGCAGAAGAGGAGAGUGGAAUUCCAUGUGUAGCGGUGAAAUGCGUAGAUAUAUGGAGGAACACCAGUGGCGAAGGCGGCUCUCUGGUCUGUAACUGACGCUGAGGCUCGAAAGCGUGGGGAGCAAACAGGAUUAGAUAC